AGAGCGAACGCUGGCGGCAGGCCUAACACAUGCAAGUCGAGCGGCCGUAGCAAUACGGCAGCGGCAGACGGGAGAGUAACACGUGGGAACGCGCCCUUCGGUUCGGAAUAACUCAGGGAAACUUGGGCUAAUACCGGAUACGCCCUUACGGGGAAAGAUUUAUUGCCGAAGGAACGGCCCGCGUCCGAUUAGCUUGUUGGUGAGGUAACGGCUCACCAAGGCGACGAUCGGUAGCUGGUCUGAGAGGAUGACCAGCCUCACUGGGACUGAGACACGGCCCAGACUCCUACGGGAGGCAGCAGUGGGGAAUAUUGGACAAUGGGCGCAAGCCUGAUCCAGCCAUGCCGCGUGGGUGAUGAAGGCCCUAGGGUUGUAAAGCCCUUUCGGCGGGGAAGAUAAUGACGGUACCCGCAGAAGAAGCCCCGGCUAACUUCGCGCCAGCAGCCGC
rnacentral:rRNA from 1 species